UUGUAAAUGUUAUGACUUUUUAAUCCCUUUCUUUUACCGUCACCAGUACAAAGGAUACUGUUUUACCAUCUGCAGUAUAUUUGCCCAACAUCUGCAACCCCAUCAGUUUACAGUUAACCCCUGUUUUGUUUGUUUUUUUACUAUGAACACUGAGGAGUAAUUGCAGUAAAUUCCCAGACACCCCCUGUUGUACAUGUAUUUCCUCUUCUAUUUCUGUCCCUUUAAAAUCUAAAUCCUGGUGUAGAAUAAAAAUUGCAAUAACCAUAUGCAAAUGUGGUGAGCGGAACACAGCGUGUAAAUCAGAGGAGAGAAGAGCCAGGAGCAAUGGGGAGAGAGAAAGAGGGAGGGGGUGACCCGGGGUUAAUCAGUUUUACUGCUCAGUGAGAGAACGCUGAACAUGGAAAGGGGGGGUUGGAUGAGAGAUGGAAGGCAGGGGGAAGAAAUAGAAGAAAUGAGAGCGGAGAGAAAAAAAAUAAGGAAAAGGUGGAAGCGGGAGAAUAUAUGUAGAGAAAAAUAUGGAACUAGCGGAAUGAUGUCUGAAUGGUGACAAAGAACAAUGUGUUUUAAUUUGGAAAAAUGACAGGGAGUGAAGGUUGAACAAAAAUUACAAGCAAAAUAAAAGGGGCACAAAAAAGACACUGAAUGUGUACAAGAUCCUUUGGAAAAGCCCUUCCUUGUCAAGUCUAUGAUGCUGCUGUGGUCAUCUCCAUCUGAAAAGCACCACCAUAUUGUGAAGUGUAGUACAGGAGGCAACAAAUCAUACUAGAAAAUCGUACUGCAGAAAUUAAUGUGAGCAUACUACAUGAAGCGUAUUGAGUAAAAAAUGAAUAAUACAUCGGUA